rnacentral:rRNA from 1 species
UACGGAGGGUGCAAACGUUGCUCGGAAUCAUUGGGCGUAAAGGGCUCGUAGGCGGCCAACUAAGUCGGAUGUGAAAUCCCCAGGCUCAACUUGGGAACUGCAUCCGAUACUGGAUGGCUUGAAUUCGGGAGAGGGAUGCAGAAUUCCAGGUGUAGCGGUGAAAUGCGUAGAUAUCUGGAGGAAUACCGGUGGCGAAGGCGGGACUCUGGGCCGAUACUGACGCUGAGGAGCGAAAGCGUGGGGAGCAAACAGG